rnacentral:rRNA from 1 species
GCGCAGCAGGCGCGAAACUUUACAAUGUGCGAAAGCACGAUAAGGGAACUCUGAGUGCCUCCUAAGGAGGCUGUUCAGGUGUCUAAAAGACACCUGAAGGAAGGGCUGGGUAAGACCGGUGCCAGCCGCCGCGGUAACACCGGCAGCCCAAGUGGUAGCCACGUUUAUUGGGUCUAAAGCGUCCGUGGCCGGCUGGGUAAGUUCCUUGGGAAAUUUGGCUGCUUAACAGUCAAGCUUUCAGGGAAUACUGCCCGGCUUGGGACCGGGAGAGGUCAGAGGUACUCCAGGGGUAGGGGUGAAAUCCAUUAA